rnacentral:rRNA from 1 species
GUCUAUGGCCAUACCACCCUGAACACGCCUGAUCGCGUCUGAUCUCGGAAUCUAAGCAGGGUCCAGCCUGGUUAGUACUUGAAUGGGAGAAAAGGACUUCCCUCAGCAGCUGUCC